AGUGAACGCUGGCGGUAGGCCUAACACAUGCAAGUCGAACGGCAGCACAGUAAGAGCUUGCUCUUACGGGUGGCGAGUGGCGGACGGGUGAGGAAUACAUCGGAAUCUACUUUUUCGUGGGGGAUAACGUAGGGAAACUUACGCUAAUACCGCAUACGACCUACGGGUGAAAGCAGGGGAUCUUCGGACCUUGCGCGAUUGAAUGAGCCGAUGUCGGAUUAGCUAGUUGGCGGGGUAAAGGCCCACCAAGGCGACGAUCCGUAGCUGGUCUGAGAGGAUGAUCAGCCACACUGGAACUGGGACACGGUCCAGACUCCAACGGGAGGCAGCAGUGGGGAAUAUUGGACAAUGGGCGCAAGCCUGAUCCAGCCAUACCGCGUGGGUGAAGAAGGCCUUCGGGUUGUAAAGCCCUUUUGUUGGGAAAGAAAAGCAGCAGGUUAAUACCCCGCUGUUCUGACGGUACCCAAAGAAUAAGCACGGGCUAACUUCGUG
rnacentral:rRNA from 1 species